GAGGGUAUAGCUCAGUGGGAGAGUGUGUGCCUAGCAUGCAGAAUGUCCUGGGUUCAAUCCUCAGCACCUCA
rnacentral:tRNA from 1 species